CCUACGGGUGGCAGCAGUGGGGAAUAUUGGGCAAUGGGCGCAAGCCUGACCCAGCAACGCCGCGUGAAGGAAGAAGGCUUUCGGGUUGUAAACUUCUUUUAUCAGGGACGAAGCAAGUGACGGUACUGGAUGAAUAAGCCACGGUUAAUUACGGGCCAGAAGCCGCGGUAAUACGUAGGUGGCAAGCGUUAUCCGGAUUUACUGGGGGUAAAGGGCGUGUAGGCGGGAGUGCAAGUCAGAUGUGAAAACUAUGGGCUCAACCCAUAGCCUGCAUGUGAAACUGUCCUGAUUGAGUGCUGGAGAGGCAGUCGGAAUUCCGUGUGUAGCGGUGAAAUGCGUAGAUAUACGGAGGAACACCAGUGGCGAAGGCGGAUUGCUGGACAGUAACUGACGCUGAGGCGCGAAAGCGUGGGGAGCAAACAGGAUUAGAUACCCCAGUAGUC
rnacentral:rRNA from 1 species